UACGAAGGGGGCUAGCGUUGUUCGGAAUUACUGGGCGUAAAGCGCACGUAGGCGGAUAUUUAAGUCGGGGGUGAAAUCCCGGGGCUCAACCCCGGAACUGCCUUCGAUACUGGGUAUCUUGAGCUCGGAAGAGGUGAGUGGAAUUGCGAGUGUAGAGGUGAAAUUCGUAGAUAUUCGCAGGAACACCAGUGGCGAAGGCGGCUCACUGGUCCGAUACUGACGCUGAGGUGCGAAAGCGUGGGGAGCAAACAGG
rnacentral:rRNA from 1 species